AUGGGCACGAAAGGCAAAAGCAGGCUGCGCAAUAAGCGCGGAGGCGUGCCCCUUCGGCCGCAUGCGCCUCCCGUAGCCCAGGCGAAGGCCGGCGGCGACCCAACGGCGAAGACAGGGUCGGAGGAGAAGGUGGCUAUCCUCACGGCCCACAACGCCGCGGAGCUGCCAAAGGCGCGGGCAGAGCUCGACAACGCGCAGCAGCGCGACGAUGGCGAGGUGGUGCUCCCUCAGGUGACCGACCUUCACCUUCACGGUGCCACCGAUGGGAAGGCCACGCAGCCGGCCGACAACGGCCCUGGCGAGCUCGAGCGGGAAGCGCCGGGGUCGGGCGAGGUUGUGCUCCCUGACGAGGUCGUCGAGGAACCUGGCCUUCAUGGCGCCACCGAGGAUGUGCCAGUGGAGAUCGAGGGGGAAGCACCCGGGUCGGGCGAGGUGGUGCUCCCCGAGGAGGUCGAGGAGCCCGUCCUUCACGGCGCCACCGCAGAGGAGGUCGUGCGGCCGGCGACGGAGGAGGCGGACGACGUGCCUGUCGAGCUCGAGGCGGGAGGAUCGGGGGAGGAGAGGCCAUGGCCGGCGAAGCAGAAGUUCAAGUCCCUCAAACCCGUGCUGGAACCGUUGGAGGAUCAGGGUGGCGAGGCGACGGACGCGCCGCACGCCGAGGAGGACCUCCCGGACGACGCCUGCGCCGAGGAGGACCACAACGUCGUCCACCCCGAGGAGGUCGUCUCCCUGCGCCGGCGCCUGGCCGCCGCGCGGGCGCUGAACCUCCUGAACCCGGAGACGGUAGACGAACUAAACAAGCUGUUCAAGGAGAUGGGGCUCUCGGCCGCCGACUCCUCCGAUAAGACCAAGGUGCAGGGCGACGCUGCCGUCGUCGCGUGGAAGGGCCAGGGACGCCGUUGA
rnacentral:rRNA from 1 species